rnacentral:rRNA from 1 species
CCUACGGGUGGCAGCAGUGAGGAAUAUUGGUCAAUGGACGAGAGUCUGAACCAGCCAAGUCGCGUGAAGGAUGACUGCCCUAUGGGUUGUAAACUUCUUUUAUAUGGGAAUAAAAUGUUCCACGUGUGGGCUUUUGUAUGUACCCUAUGAAUAAGGAUCGGCUAACCCCGUGCCAGCAGCCGCGGUAAUACGGAGGAUCCGAGCGUUAUCCGGAUUUAUUGGGUUUAAAGGGAGCGUAGGUGGAUUGUUAAGUCAGUUGUGAAAGUUUGCGGCUCAACCGUAAAAUUGCAGUUGAAACUGGCAGUCUUGAGUACAGGAGAGGUGGGCGGAAUUCGUGGUGUAGCGGUGAAAUGCUUAGAUAUCACGAAGAACUCCGAUUGCGAAGGCAGCUCACUGGACUGCAACUGACACUGAGGCUCGAAAGUGUGGAUAUCAAACAGGAUUAGAUACCCCUGUAGUC